AAUGUGACCCUUGAGCACCUGAAAUAGGACUGGUGUGACUGAAGAAAUGGAUUUUGAAGUUUAGCUAGUUCUAAUUAACGUAGAGGACCAUAUAUUUUUGAGAAGAUCAAGGGAAUGGUUGAGUUUUAUCUCAGAAUCCAAUUAGGCAAGAUCAAAGACAAAGUCCAUAAAAAACAGAACCUAGAGCCCAGCCACAAUGGCAGACAAUGCUAAAACACUGUACCUGGGACCUCAUGGAAGGCCUGAGUUCAAAUCCUGGUUCUGACAUAGAUAAUUUAAGCAACCUGGAAGGCUGAAACAGAAGGCUCAUGAGCUUGAAUCUGGCCUGCAACAUAGUAAGGUCCUGUCUAAUAAAGAAAAAAAGAAGAGAAAACAAAAGCCAAGCAUGGUGGCAUGCAGGUGUGGUCCCAAUGGGGAGGCUGAGACAGGGAAUUAAGACAGCCCACACAAUGGAAUUCAACAAAAUGAGGUAACAGUUUUCUGUGUGAGUCACUCUGGGAGACUGUGAUCAGAGAGCACUGUGAGGCGAGCGGCCGGAGUCCAGGCAAGUGUUUCAGCAGUCCAAGAACUGGCAGGCAGCCCGAGAGACACUCACCUGAUGACGAACAAGCAGGAUGCAUCCUGGAGGAAAUGGAUCCCAACAG